rnacentral:rRNA from 1 species
CCGUGAAAAAAUUAGAGUGUUCAAAGCAGGCAGAUUCAAUUUUCUGCCACCGAAUACAUUAGCAUGGGAUAAUGGAAUAGGACCCUGUCCUCCUAUUUUCAGUUGGUUUUGGCAGCGCGAGGACUAGGGUAAUGAUUAAUAGGGAUAGUUGGGGGCAUUAAUAUUUAAUUGUCAGAGGUGAAAUUCUUGGAUUUAUGAAAGAUUAACUUCUGCGAAAGCAUCUGCCAAGGAUGUUUUCAUUAAUCAAGAACGAAAGUUAGGGGAUCGAAGACGAUCAGAUACCGUCGUAGUCUUAACCAUAAACGAUGCCGACCAGCGAUUAGGAGACGUUGAAUACAAAACACCACCAUCGGCGCGGUCGUCCUUGGCGCGUUCGUGUUCACGCACGAGCGCGCGAGGGCGGUUUAGCCCGGUGGCACCGGUGAAUGACUCCCUAGC